AUACGUAGGUGACAAGCGUUAUCCGGAUUUACUGGGCGUAAAGGGCGUGUAGGCGGUCUUGCAAGUCAGAAGUGAAAUUCCUGAGCUCAACUCGGGCGCUGCUUCUGAAACUGCAGGACUUGAGUGCUGGAGGGGAUAGCGGAAUUCCUAGUGGAGCGGUAAAAUGCGCAGAUAUUAGGAAGAACACCGGUGGCGAAGGCGGCUAUCUGGACAGUAACUGACGCUGAGGCGCGAAAGCGUGGGGAGCAAACAGGAUUAGAUACCCUGGUAGUCCACGCCAUAAACGAUGAAUACUAGGUGUAGGGGGUAUCGACUCCCUCUGUGCCGCAGUUAACACAAUAAGUAUUCCGCCUGGGGAGUACGGCCGCAAGACUGAAACUUAAAGGAAUUGACGGGG
rnacentral:rRNA from 1 species